UCCAAUCGCGAUGCACCCGCCUCCCCAACAGGCUAUAUAUAGCAUGAUAUGAUCAUUAUCUGUCUGCUACCAACAGGGUACUGACAGAUGUCUUUAUUCCUCUUAAAGAUAGGAGAUUAUCUGUGGACUUUUCAGCUGCAAUUGACUGGUCCUUGAUUUUUGCUGCAAACGACUAUCCUUUGACUUUCUAUCACCAGCUGAUGUUUGCUUGCACUCAGACUGUUCAUCUAGUUAAAUACUCCAUAUGAAUUGAGGCUCUUCAGUGCCCAUGUUAUUGUCUUACUUAAUUCCCCUGUAUUCACCUUGAUUUUAUUACGCUUCAAGUCCUGUCAGUUGAACUUGGAUUUCAAUAUCCACCCUGAGGGGGUUUUUCCUUGACUGGCUGUGCAUGAAGCUAGGAGUAAUCUAGAGAGACGAUCUUGUCCUAAUUCCCCUGAAGAAGCCAAGAGGCGAAACUAGUAGGGUCGACCUGAUCGAAAAAAUUAUUUCUAGAUCUUGCUC